UAAAACUACUAGGUUAGAUAUGGUUAGGGUAAAGGGCACAGUCAUUUUUCAUUGAAAAUAAUUCACAACCUUACUUUAAGGUCUUAGAGAAAAGAUUGUGGUCACGGUUAAAAGAGACGGGAUGCAUAUUAUGGUCUCCAGUGUAAAAGUCUGCCAGUUCAUAUAACUGAUCAUCCGUCCUGAACUCUUCUCUAAGUAUUGUUUGCAGAGGUUUAACAAUGUCCGUCUACUGCUGCUUUUAUUCCUAAAGCCUUGGACACACCAGGAACGCCAGGAACGCGUGGCGGCUGCGUUACCUGUUCUUUUUUUAUUUUGGCGUCCGUGUUAACAGGUUAGAGCAGCCAUACUGCCCGCGUGAGAUGCGCGUCACAGAUUACAUAUCUAGACAUCUGUAGAAUAUGUCACAGACAGUGAAAAUGAUCUAUUGACAAAGACCUUAAAUUAA